UCCGCAGGCGGGCAAUUAAGUCAGAGGUGAAAUCCCACAGCGCAACGGUGGAACUGCCUUUGAUACUGGUUGUCUUGAGUUAUAGUGAAGUAGAUAGAAUAUGUAGUGUAGCGGUGAAAUGCAUAGAUAUUACAUAGAAUACCGAUUGCGAAGGCAGUCUACUAACUCUAUACUGACGCUGAUGGACGAAAGCGUGGGGAGCGAACAGGAUUAGAUACCCUGGUAGUCC
rnacentral:rRNA from 1 species